UUGGCUAUAUCAAGCUGAAACACCCACUCCCGUACGAUCACCGAAAUUAAACAACUGCCUGAUCAGUACCUUGAUGAGUGAACACUUGGAAAUACCAGGUGUCGUAAG